rnacentral:lncRNA from 1 species
UUGUAUAAAAAUGUUAAAAACUUAAAAUAAUAUUACAUAAUAACAUAAAAUAAUGUAUAUAUGUAAAAAUGUAAAUAAACAUAUAAACUAGUAUAAUAAUAAUAUUAGUAAUAUUAACAAUGGUAAUAAUAAUAAAUUAAUUAAUGAACUUAUUUAAAAGGAAAAUAACAAAAGUAUUAAAUUAAACUAAGAAAAAAUAAAAAUAAAGUAAAACAAAAAGGGGGGUCAAAUGCAAUUAAAAUAAAAUUAAAGAACCACAAACAGAAUUAAAAUAAAUAAAAAAGGACAAAAGUGAAACGUUCGAAUGAUAAAUUAAAAUAAAUAAAAAAGGACAAAAGUAAAGAACUAAAACUGUAACAGCCCGCUUGGCAGAGUCUCCAUAUUCGAUUACUGUUUGGAGAAUAGAUGGUAAAUUAAGG